AUACGUAGGGGACGAGCGUUGUCCGGAAUUACUGGGCGUAAAGCGCACGCAGGCUGACUUAUAAGUCGGUAGUCUAAUGCGGAGGCUCAACUUCCGUUUAUCUAUCGAUACUGUAAGACUAGAGUAUGUGAGAGGGAAGUGGAAUUCCCGGUGUAGCGGUGAUAUGCGUAGAUAUCGGAGGAACACCAGUGGCGAAGGCGACUUACUGGGCCGUAACUGACGCUGAGGCGCGAAAGCGUGGGGAGCGAACAGGAUUAGAUACCCUGGUAGGCCGCACAGUAAACGAUGGACACCCGCGGUUUGGCCUAUAUGGCUGAGCCGCCAAGCGAAAGCGUUAAGUGUCCCACCUGGGGAGUACGCCGGCAACGGUGAAACUCAAAGGAAUUGACGGGG
rnacentral:rRNA from 1 species